CAAAGGUAGCAUAAUCACUUGCCUAUUAAUUGUAGGCUAGAAUGAAAGGGUUAACGAAAUAAAGACUGUCUCAAUUAGCCACCUAAAAAUUAUUCUCUAUCCGAAGAAAGAUAGAUACUCUCGAAGGACAAGAAGACCCUAUAGAGCUUCAUUUUACUUAUAGAAUGCACUAUAAAAAUAUUCGGUUGGGGCGACCCUGGGCUAAAUAAUCACCCACUACAUAAAAGAUAUAUAAAUCUAGUAAAUGACCCUAUAAAGAUCACAAGAACAAGCUACCUUAGGGAUAACAGGCUAAUCCCAUUCAAGAGUCCUUAUCAACAAUGGGGUUUGGCACCUCGAUGUUGGCUUAGGGUAUCUAUAUAGCGCAAAAGUU
rnacentral:rRNA from 1 species